AGAGUUUGAUCAUGGCUCAGGAUGAACGCUGGCGGUAUGCUUUACACAUGCAAGUCGUACGAGAGUUUUUAACUCAAGUGGCGGACGGGUGAGGAACACGUAAGAAUUUGCCUUUAGGAGGGGGAUAAUAACUGGAAAUGGUUGGUAAUACCCCAUAUGCUUAUUUUCUUCUUGAAAGAAGAAACAAGUGAAAUGGUUUUUCCGCCUAAAGAGAAGCUUGCGGCUGAUUAGCUUGUUGGUGAGGUAAUGGCUCACCAAGGCGACGAUCAGUAUCCGGUUUGAGAGGACGAUCAGACACACUGGAACUGAGACACGGUCCAGACUCCUACGGGAGGCAGCAGUGGGGAAUUUUCCGCAAUGGGCGAAAGCCUGACGGAGCAAUACCGCGUGAGGGAUGACGGCCUAUGGGUUGUAAACCUCUUUUCUCAGGGAGGAAUCAAUGACGUGUACCUGAGGAAUAAGCAUCGGCUAACUCCGUGCCAGCAGCCGCGGUAAGACGGAGGAUGCAAGUGUUAUCCGGAAUCACUGGGCGUAAAGCGUCUGUAGGUGGUCAAAUAAGUCAACUGUUAAAUCUUGAGGCUCAACCUCAAAACCGCAGUCGAAACUAUUAGACUCGAGUAUAGUAGGGGUAAAGGGAAUUUCCAGUGGAGCGGUGAAAUGCGUAGAGAUUGGAAAGAACACCGAUGGCGAAGGC
rnacentral:rRNA from 1 species